rnacentral:rRNA from 1 species
UGGGGAAUCUUCCGCAAUGGACGAAAGUCUGACGGAGCAACGCCGCGUGAGUGAUGACGGCCUUCGGGUUGUAAAGCUCUGUUAAUCGGGACGAAAGGCCUUCUUGCGAAUAGUUAGAAGGAUUGACGGUACCGGAAUAGAAAGCCACGGCUAACUACGUGCCAGCAGCCGCGGUAAUACGUAGGUGGCAAGCGUUGUCCGGAAUUAUUGGGCGUAAAGCGCGCGCAGGCGGAUUGGUCAGUCUGUCUUAAAAGUUCGGGGCUUAACCCCGUGAUGGGAUGGAAACUGCCAAUCUAGAGUAUCGGAGAGGAAAGUGGAAUUCCUAGUGUAGCGGUGAAAUGCGUGCGUAGAUAUUAGGAAGAACACCAGUGGCGAAGGCGACUUUCUGGACGAAAACUGACGCUGAGGCGCGAAAGCCAGGGGAGCGAACGGGAUUAGAUACCCCGGUAGUCCUGGCCGUAAACGAUGGGUACUAGGUGUAGGAGGUAUCGACCCCUUCCGUGCCGGAGUUAACGCAAUAAGUACCCCGCCUGGGGAGUACGACCGCAAGGUUG